rnacentral:rRNA from 1 species
GUGGGGAAUUUUCCGCAAUGGGCGAAAGCCUGACGGAGUGACGCCGCGUGUGGGACGAAGGCCUUCGGGUCGUAAACCACUGUCAGUGGGAAAGAAGGGCAUCGGCGCGAUAAACGCCGGUGCUUGACGGUACCUGCAGAGGAAGCCCCGGCUAACUCUGUGCCAGCAGCCGCGGUAAGACAGAGGGGGCAAGCGUUGCUCGGAAUUACUGGGCGUAAAGGGCGCGUAGGCGGGACGGCAAGUCGGUCGUGAAAUCCCUCGGCUCAACUGAGGAACGUCGAUCGAUACUGCCGUUCUUGAGGGUUGCAGAGGAGACUGGAAUUCCCGGUGUAGCGGUGAAAUGUGUAGAGAUCGGGAGGAACACCGGUGGCGAAGGCGGGUCUCUGGGCAACUCCUGACGCUGAGGCGCGAAAGCGUGGGGAGCAAACGGGAUUAGAAACCCUGGUAGUCC